UACGGAGGGUGCAAGCGUUGCUCGGAAUUAUUGGGCGUAAAGGGUAAGUAGGUGGUCUCAUUUGUCUGGGGUGAAAGCCUUGGGCUUAACUCAAGAAGUGCCCCAGAAACGGUGAGACUGGAGUCCUGGAGAGGGUCGUGGAAUUCCCGGUGUAGCGGUGAAAUGCGUAGAGAUCGGGAGGAACACCAGAGGCGAAAGCGGCGACCUGGACAGGUACUGACACUCAACUACGAAAGCGUGGGGAGCAAACAGG
rnacentral:rRNA from 1 species